rnacentral:rRNA from 1 species
GACGAACGCUGGCGGCGUGCUUAACACAUGCAAGUCGAACGGAAAGGCCCUGCUUUUGUGGGGUGCUCGAGUGGCGAACGGGUGAGUAACACGUGAGUAACCUGCCCUUGAUUUUGGGAUAACUUCAGGAAACUGGGGCUAAUAUCGGAUAGGAGCCGCCGCUGCAUGGUGGGGGUUGGAAAGUUUCGGCGGUUGGGGAUGGAUUCGCGGCUUAUCAGCUUGUUGGUGGGGGAGUGGCUUACCAAGGCAUUGACGGGUAGCCGGCCUGAGAGGGUGACCGGCCACAUUGGUACUGAGAGACGGCCCAGACUCCUACGGGAGGCAGCAGUGGGGAAUAUUGCACAAUGGGCGGAAGCCUGAUGCAGCAGCGCCGCGUGCGGGAUGACGGCCUUCGGGUUGUAAACCGCUUUCGCCUGUGACGAAGCGUGAGUGACGGUAAUGGGUAAAGAAGCACCGGCUAACUACGUG